rnacentral:lncRNA from 1 species
GUAAUCUUUUUUGAAGGCAGAGCAAAAUUGAUGAUGUUGCAUAGGGUUCGAUUCUAUAGAAUAAUAAAUGUGCUGUUAGCCUGUGUGUUAUGUUUAGAGAGAAAUUUAAUUAUUUUGGAAUUGAGAAAUUAAUUGAACUCGAGUGAUUUUCAGUGUUUAUUAUUAUCACUGCCAACUUUGUGGAUGAUUUUUUACGUUUUUAAAUUCAAUAGAUAGCUUGAAAAUUAACAUACUUUACUC